rnacentral:lncRNA from 1 species
AUUCUUGCUUGAGCACUAUGCCAUUAUCAAAUUCCCCCUGACCACUGAUUCAGCCAUGAAGAAGGUAGAGGACAACAACUCAUUGUGGAUGUGAAGGCCAGCAAGCACCAGAUCAAAUGGAAUGUGAAGAAACUCGGUGACACUGAUGUGGCCAAAGUCAAUACCCUGAUGAGGCCUGAUGGAGCGAAGAAGGUCUACCUUAGUUUGGCUCCUGAUUAUCAUGCUCUAGAUGGUGCCAACAAGAUUGGCAUCAUCUAA